AUUGAACGCUGGCGGCAGGCCUAACACAUGCAAGUCGAGCGGCAGCGGAAAGUAGCUUGCUACUUUGCCGGCGAGCGGCGGACGGGUGAGUAAUGUCUGGGAAACUGCCUGAUGGAGGGGGAUAACUACUGGAAACGGUAGCUAAUACCGCAUAACGUCGCAAGACCAAAGAGGGGGACCUUCGGGCCUCUUGCCAUCAGAUGUGCCCAGAUGGGAUUAGCUAGUAGGUGGGGUAACGGCUCACCUAGGCGACGAUCCCUAGCUGGUCUGAGAGGAUGACCAGCCACACUGGAACUGAGACACGGUCCAGACUCCUACGGGAGGCAGCAGUGGGGAAUAUUGCACAAUGGGCGCAAGCCUGAUGCAGCCAUGCCGCGUGUAUGAAGAAGGCCUUCGGGUUGUAAAGUACUUUCAGCGGGGAGGAAGGUGUUGUGGUUAAUAACCACAGCAAUUGACGUUACCCGCAGAAGAAGCACCGGCUAACUCCGUGCCAGCCGCCGCCGUAACAC
rnacentral:rRNA from 1 species